AAAAAUCGUAACAAGGUCUCCGUUGGUGAACCAGCGGAGGGAUCAUUGCUGGAACGCGCCCCAGGCGCACCCAGAAACCCUUUGUGAACUUAUACCUUACUGUUGCCUCGGCGCUAGCUGGUCCUUCGGGGCCCCUCACCCUCGGGUGUUGAGACAGCCCGCCGGCGGCCAACCCAACUCUUGUUUUUACACUGAAACUCUGAGAAUAAAACAUAAAUGAAUCAAAACUUUCAACAACGGAUCUCUUGGUUCUGGCAUCGAUGAAGAACGCAGCGAAAUGCGAUAAGUAAUGUGAAUUGCAGAAUUCAGUGAAUCAUCGAAUCUUUGAACGCACAUUGCGCCCUCUGGUAUUCCGGAGGGCAUGCCUGUUCGAGCGUCAUUUCAACCCUCAAGCCUGGCUUGGUGAUGGGGCACUGCUUUUACCCAAGAGCAGGCCCUGAAAUUCAGUGGCGAGCUCGCCAGGACCCCGAGCGCAGUAGUUAAACCCUCGCUCUGGAAGGCCCUGGCGGUGCCCUGCCGUUAAACCCCCAACUUCUGAAAAUUGACCUCGGAUCAGGAGGAA
rnacentral:rRNA from 1 species